GAUGAACGCUGGCGGCGUGCCUAAUACAUGCAAGUCGAGCGAACAGACGAGGAGCUUGCUCCUCUGACGUUAGCGGCGGACGGGUGAGUAACACGUGGAUAACCUACCUAUAAGACUGGGAUAACUUCGGGAAACCGGAGCUAAUACCGGAUAAUAUAUUGAACCGCAUGGUUCAAUAGUGAAAGACGGUUUUGCUGUCACUUAUAGAUGGAUCCGCGCCGCAUUAGCUAGUUGGUAAGGUAACGGCUUACCAAGGCGACGAUGCGUAGCCGACCGGAGAGGGUGAUCGGCCACCCUGGAACGUGGACACGGUCCAGACUCCUACGGGAGGCAGCAGUAGGGAAUCUUCCGCAAUGGGCGAAAGCCUGACGGAGCAACGCCGCGUGAGUGAUGAAGGUCUUCGGAGCGUAAAACUCUGUUAUUAGGGAUGAACAAAUGUGUAAGUAACUAUGCACGUCUUGACGGUACCUAAUCAGAAAGCCACGGCUAACUACGUG
rnacentral:rRNA from 1 species